CAGCCGCCACGGGAAUACGUAGGGUGCGAGCGUUAAUCGGAAUUACUGGGCGUAAAGCGUGCGCAGGCGGUUUUGUAAGACAGGCGUGAAAUCCCCGGGCUCAACCUGGGAAUGGCGCUUGUGACUGCAAAGCUAGAGUGCGGCAGAGGGGGAUGGAAUUCCGCGUGUAGCAGUGAAAUGCGUAGAUAUGCGGAGGAACACCGAUGGCGAAGGCAAUCCCCUGGGCCUGCACUGACGCUCAUGCACGAAAGCGUGGGGAGCAAACAGGAUUAGAUACCCGUGUAGUCCCUGUCUCUUAUAC
rnacentral:rRNA from 1 species